GCAGUCAGGGGGUGAGGAGACGGGGUAGAACGUAGGGGGGAGAAGUGGUGCGGAAGUGUGGGGCGGGAGGAGGGCGUAGGCGGCUGGUCGCGUCGGCGUGGAAAACGUGGGGCUGAACUACGGGGCGGCAGCCGAGACGAGCAAGCUAGAAGUCGGUAGGGGAGACUGGAAUUCCGGGUGUAGCGGUGAAAUGCGGAGAUAUCAGGAGGAACACCGGUGGCGAAGGCGGGUCUCUGGGCCGAAAUUGACGCUGAGGAGCGAAAGCGUGGGGAGCGAACAGGAUUAGAUACCCUGGUAGUC
rnacentral:rRNA from 1 species